CACGUAGGGCGCAAGCGUUGUCCGGAAUUAUUGGGCGUAAAGAGCUCGUAAGCGGACUGUCACGUCUGCUGUGAAAAGCUGGGGCUUAACCCUGGCCUUGCAGUGGAUACGGGCAGACUAGAGGUAGGUAGGGGAGAAUGGAAUUCCCGGUGUAGCGGUGAAAUGCGCAGAUAUCAGGAGGAACACCAAUGGCGAAGGCAGCUCGCUGGGACGGUACUGACGCUGAGACGCGAAAGCGUGGGGAGCAAACAGG
rnacentral:rRNA from 1 species